rnacentral:rRNA from 1 species
UACGGGGGGGGCAAGCGUUGUUCGGAAUUACUGGGCGUAAAGGGCUCGUAGGCGGCCAACUAAGUCAGACGUGAAAUCCCUCGGCUUAACCGGGGAACUGCGUCUGAUACUGGAUGGCUUGAGGUUGGGAGAAGGAUGCGGAAUUCCAGGUGUAGUCGGUGAAAUGCGUAGAUAUCUGGAGGAACACCGGUGGCGAAGGCGGCGAUCCUGGACCAAUUCUGACGCUGAGGAGCGAAAGCCAGGGGAGCAAACGGG